rnacentral:rRNA from 1 species
UUUGAUCCUGGCUCAGGAUGAACGCUGGCGGUCUGCUUAACACAUGCAAGUCGAACGGAGUACUUCGGUACUUAGUGGCGGACGGGUGAGUAACGCGUGAGGAUCUGCCCUCAGGAGGGGGACAACGACUGGAAACGGUCGCUAAUACCCCAUAUGCCGAGAGGUGAAAUGUUUUUUCGCCUGAGGAUGAGCUCGCGUCAGAUUAGCUAGUUGGUGGGGUAACGGCCUACCAAGGCGACGAUCUGUAGCUGGUCUGAGAGGAUGAUCAGCCACACUGGGACUGAGACACGGCCCAGACUCCUACGGGAGGCAGCAGUGGGGAAUUUUCCGCAAUGGGCGAAAGCCUGACGGAGCAAGACCGCGUGAGGGAUGACGGCCUAAUGGUUGUAAACCUCUUUUCCCUGGGAAGAUAAUGACGGUACCAGAGGAAUAAGCCUCGGCUAACUCCGUGCCAGCAGCCGCGGUAAUACGGAGGAGGCAAGCGUUAUCCGGAAUUAUUGGGCGUAAAGCGUCCGUAGGUGGUUAAUCAAGUCAGCUGUUAAAGAGCGGAGCUUAACUCCGUUAGAGCGGUUGAAACUGAUUGACUAGAGUUUGGUAGGGGUCGAGGGAAUUCCCAGUGUAGCGGUGAAAUGCGUAGAUAUUGGGAAGAACACCGGUGGCGAAAGCGCUCGACUGGGCCUGAACUGACACUGAGGGACGAAAGCUAGGGGAGCGAAAGGGAUUAGAUACCCCUGUAGUCCUA